ACAGCAGUCACGACCACCAGCAUGCUGCCCACUUGUGAUGCAUCAGAGGAAAUUAAUGGACUGAAGCAAGGAAGGUUAAUAGAUCCAGAAGGGCUCUGCACAGAGCUUUCAUCAGAGGAAAGGGAAAAAAGUGCUUUCUGCAUCUCCUCCACCCUUCAGUGUCAUUUCAAGUGGCCAGUGACAAUUCCAUGGAGAGGCUGUUUCACAAUGUGUCUUUAAAAUAAUGAUUAAAAUGCCUCAGGAGAAACCGAUGGAAGCCAGCUUCCACUGAACACGAGAACACCAGAAGAGCCUUCUGGAUCAGGCCAGUGGUCCAUCUAGUCCAGAUGCCAUAAAGUGAAGCCUGCAAACAGAACUGGAGGACAAGGACACUCUCCCCUCCUGUGGCUUCCAGAAAGUGGUUCAGCUGCAUUACUGCUUCCAGCCAUGGCCCAUCAAUUUCAAGGGGUCUACUCUGAGUAAGUAUUCUCUUUCCAGCAGCCACCAACUUCCUACGGCUUGGUGGGUGUCGCAAAACAGGUCUAUAGUUUGGGUCCUUUGCAUGUCGCAAUUGAACCCUUUUAUUUUAAGAUUCUUUGAUGGGAUUUUCCCACCACCCCCUAAGACAUUUAUGGUCACUGAGCCUGUGCAUACAUUACAUUAACAGUGCAAGAUGAUCACAGAUGAGGAGGCCUUUUAUUUCCCUGUGCAGAAGCAGCAGCAGUGUUGAGGAAGUCCUGAAACACGUUUGCUGGCCCCAAAGAACUUCUUGUCCAGCAGAUGUAAUCUGCGGCUGUUUUCCUUUCAGAGAAAGUUAUUAAUGUUUGCUGUUCACUCAAGGCUUUUACAGCUUCCUUUUUUUGGUAAUUCUCACAGAGGCUUUCCUUUUUAUUGCAUUCUUCCUGUGAGAAACGCUGGGGAGGAUCUUUUUUCUUUCUUUAAUAGAGUUUACUUAACAUUUGAAUUGGAAUCUAGGAGCAUUUUCUGCUGAUGAAAAGUGGAGAGGGCAGGAAUAAUAAUAUUUAGGCUACAGUCCAAAGCAUACUUCUUGGGACCAAGCUCAAUUGAGUGGAUGGGACUAACCUCCCAGGAAAUAUUUCGUUAAGUUGCAACAGUGAGCACAGUGCAAUAAGUCAAACCUUUUCAAACCCAAGAUCUGGUUUCUUUUUUCUGAAACAGGGUACUCAUUUCUUCUUCUUUACUUAUUCAGAAGUAACACUGAACCACAAUUACUGUAUUUUUCCAUCUAUAAGAUGUCCCCAUGUAUAAGACGCCCCCUAUUUUUGAGGACUCAGAUUUAAGGAAAUGGGGGAGAUGUAUCCGCGUAUAAGACACCCCCUAAUUUUUGACAUUAUUUUUUAGGGGAAAAAACCUAUGUCUUAUACAUGGAAAAAUAUGGUAAAUGCUUUGUGAAUUAGCCUUCAGUUUAUUCACCUCCAGCUUCCAUUUCAUGAUUUGAUGUCCUUCCAAUUUACUGACAAACCACCAUCUGCUACUGCAGCCAAACUGUGCAAGUUAUGAUUUCUACAAACCAUAGUUUACCCACAAAGCAAGAUUAGGUGUUGUCUGCAGGCUUGGUUUGCAGACAGAUUAUGACUUGUGUAAAGCUUAGUUUUGUGGGUUGGUUGUAAUAAGAAAAUAUAGUUUAUUGCUGAACCAGAAGUGAUGGAGGAAAUGGGAGCAUUUGCGGGGAUGAUGGAGGCAAAGAGCUGGUGGGAGGGUACCAGUCCUGCUGGUCAGAUCCACUGACAGGGGGUAUGCUACAAAGGGCUUUCAACAGCGCCAGCAAAGGGCAUCAAAUCUGACUUAAGUGUUAGGCUCAAUGGCAAGAAGUGGCACAUACGACCACAGGGGCAAUGGAGAAGUAAGAUCCUGCCAGCCCAGCCUCCUGGAUGGAGGUCCUUCCCAAGGAAGGACUCUUUCAUCCAGGGAUAGCUAAACUAGGACCAUCCAACUUUUGCCUAACUACAAUUCACAUCAGCCCCAUCAACCCGUUUAAAAUUGGUUACUGACUUUUCUUCUCAAGGGUAUCCCAGAGUGCUCUCACUGAGAAGAUAUACUUCUGUUGUAGACUGACCAACAAUGUCUCUUUGGAUCAUCUUAAGAUCGUCUUGGUGUGUGCUGAGGGAAGCAGUGAUCCCAAGUUGCUUAGGGCCUUAGAUUUCAACCGCAAAGCUCUGAAGCAGGCUCCAUAUCUGACAGGCAACCAGUGCAGUUCUUUCAACAGUAAAGCAAUGUGUGAGAAACUGGGCACCCCCUGGGCUUCUAGCAGUUGCAUAUGAAUUAGCUGCAGCUUCUAAACCAGAUGCAAGAAGUAGUCCCUCAUACAGUGCAUUGCAACCAUCUAAAUGUAAGGUUACGAAUGCAUGGUCCACUGUGGUAAGACUAACUGGUUGCAGCUGGUGAACAAACUAAAGCUGGCAAUGGGUGCUCCACUGAUGUUGUCCUUAGCAUUUCUUGGGGGGGGGGGGAAUCAGUUAAAUUUCCCUUGCACUUAAUUACACCCAAUCAUGCCAUUAGGCAUUCGACUCUGAUUAGUAAUCAGCAUUAUAAUACUAUUAACAUAAUUUUUUUUAAUAUUGUGUUUAAAUGUUGUAACCCACCCUGGGACCCUAGGGUGAAGGUCGAGUAAUUAAUAAUAAUAGCAACCACAAUCCUGUUCAUGGUGUGAUCCUUGAUUGGCUGGGCUCACCAAUGUGAUUAACAGGGGAAAGAAAAGUUUCAGUCCCAUCAAAAUUGCUAUUUUCUGUCUGAAAACAGAGUGUAUUUCAUACAUGACACAAGUUAAAGAUGGACUACUCAAAACAUACAUGGGCAAGUUUAAUUAAAAGACUUUGACAAGCUUCCUGGCAGAUAUCACAGCUUGUUUGUUUUUCUUGCUUACAUUUUUAGGCAUCCUAAUGAGAGAGUGACAUUUCCUAGACUUAAUUGAUAUUUACUAAGAAUUCUGCAAUGAGAGCUGAAAAGCCAGUCUGAGGCUCUUCUGUCCCCCAGUCCCACCAUGGCCCUAUCUCUGGGAAUAUCACUAAUUAGCAUCAUUAGCGUUCAAGCUCUGUCAGCACUUACCAUACUUGGGGUUUGUACUUAACACAUUUCAGUUAUUCUCCACUGUCACAUUUGAUAUUUGCAGAAAUACAGCCUUCUGAGAAAGCAUGACUUUAACAAGGCACCAGCCUUCCUUCAGGUUAUUACUAUUUUUAUUACCCAACCGUCGGUCUUAACUGGAACCUGUGCAGAGCCUAGACUGGCUUGUGGAGGCACAGCUUGGAAGGGUGGGGAAGCAAAUCCUCCCCUUUGGUCCUUCUUGGUACAGGCAGGCAUGAUGGGCGGAGUCAUGAGCCUGGCUUCUUGCCAGGAAAGGAGCUGCACAGAGAAGCGAGUGUAAAAGCUACGUCUGCCACCACCUUUUGGUUCUGGGCAUCCAAUACCCCCUACUUUCUGUGGUCCAGCAGAUACUCCUCAGCACGGCCUUCUGAGACCAGUUCUCCAAGAAGGAUCGGAGCCACCAUAACGCUAUGCUUCCCAGUCCCAAACCAGACAAAAGGAUACAAGAAAAAGAUCCAAAGGGUUGAUGCUGUCAAAGUUGUUGAGAGCCCCAGGAGAACCAACAGGGUCAGACUCCCCACCUGCAUGCAUUCCCCAGCAUAAGUCACCCACCAAACAGACCAAGGCUGUUUCUGUUUCAGACCUGGGUCUGCAGCAAGACUGGAAAGAUUUAGUUAUGUCUUUAUAUUACUUACUAGGGGAGCUCUGCCCCACUGCUUACUGGCCCAUUGGCAGUAUCCUGUCCUCAUGGAGAGUGCUGAAAACCUCUCAUGGGCCCCAGAUGCUUGUGGUCUAUACUAGGAGUCAGCUUGAAGGCAAUGUACUUUAGGCUUUCCAGCAGAGUUUGGAGAUAUAGGGACCAAUGGUGGCAUAAAGUCCUCCCUUUGCCCACUGGUGUACGAACGGAGGGGAGGCAGGGGAGCGCACCGCCCCAGGCACCAUUUGGGGAAAGGAUGCCAUCACGACCACCCCCCCGGGAUGUGCACCGCAUGCCGCGCCCUCCAGGGACGUACGCCGCACACCGUGCAAUCCCGGACAUGUACCACGCCCCUGCAGGUGAUGUGCCACGCCCUUGCGCCGCUUGCCACGUCCCCAGAUGAUGUGGCACUCCCCUGGGACUCGUGCCAGCCACACCUCCACCUGUUCUUCGCUCCGGGGGCUGCAGCAUGUUGCUCCGCCACUGCCUUUGCCCUCCGGCAAGACUUCCUGGCUGCUGCAGGCUUUCCUUCUAUCUGCUGGUUCCUAGUAGUAGCAGACAAGGAAGGGUUAAUACUCCACCCGCUCUACAAACCACUCUGUCCUGAAGCUGCUCUGCACCAGUACUUUGACUUAUAGAAAUGUGAGGUGCUAUCUUACACCAGGUCAGACAAUUUUUUUUUUGCACAUCUAGUGCAGCAUCGCCUACUCUGACUGGCAGCACCUGCUCUCUGGUGCCUAAGCCUUUUGCAGGUGUUUGCUUGCAUAGCUGAGUUGGCUGGUAUUCUGCCAUGGAGAAAGCGAGAUGAGCCGGGUGGUGCGAGCCUCCCCUGAAUGCCAGAGCUAGCUGGAAUGCAAACUAGUCAGAUGUCAUUAUUUUCCCAAACAUCUGCUGGAGCCAAGAGGCACAUCACCAGGCAGGCCUCCAUCACCAAGGUGGCAGCUCCGAGGCCUCUUCCGGGAGGCAUCCUCAUCCUCCUGGCUGCCUUCCCCCUGCAUUGGUGCCUCUGCUCUGCAAAUGUCAGUCCCAAGUUCUGGACUGACAAGUACCAAGCAGGUACUUGCCUCCAAGGCCCACUGCCAUCCAGUUCACCUGCUGCAAGCAAUCCAUUUCAGGGGGAUGCAACUGCCCAUCAAAGUAGAGCCUAGACAGAUGCAGAGAUAAAGAAGGAGGCUGGGCCAGAGCUGUGAGAUGAAGAGAGGCAGAAUCCAGCCCUACCUUCCUCAGCCAAGUGUGAAACAUGCAUCCUUUUUUGCCAUUGCAAAGGAGAAUACUGGGGGGAAUUCAAAGCUAUCAGCCUUUGGUGUGUGAUAGAUUUUCCCCAUUAAGACUUCUUCGGCUAUGUAAUCACAAGAAUAUUUUACAUGCCUGUGCCCAUCUGUUUGUGAAUAAGUCCAGCUGAAAGCACCUGCCCCUUGCUUAAGCACCCGUGGGACUGACACUCGCUAGGAAGAGAGAAAUAGACCAGGUUUCCCCAACUUGGUGCCCUCCAGCAGUUUUGGACUAUGACUCCUCAUCAGCACCAGCCAGCACAGCAUUUUCUCUAGAGCAACUGUAUUUAUACACCAUGGUUUAGAACAGGGGUCAGCAAACUUUUUCAGCAGGGGGCCGGUCCACUGUCCCUCAGACCUUGUGGGGGGCCAGACUAUAUUUGGGGGGGGGGGAAAUGAACGAAUUCCUAUGCCCCACAAAUAAUCCAGAGAUGCAUUUUAAAUAAAAUGACACAUUCUACUCAUGUAAAAACACGCUGAUUCCCAGACUGUCCGCAGGGCAGAUUUAGAAGGCGAUUGGGCCGGAUACGGCCCCCGGGCCUUAGUUUGCCUACCCAUAGUUUAGACAGUCACUCUCGGAUUCUCCUUCUUUGAGGAAGGAGCUGUGAAUUUGGAAGUCCUGGCCAGUUCAAAGGUUCCCUCUCUGACAUGAAAACACUAUGAAUUCUCUACCUCUCACAUAGGCAAUAUGGGAAAAUGAUAGGACCCAUUUUAGAGAGAAAGAAAACUGUGUCCCUCUCUCCACUACUUGUCACCAAGCGAUUAUUGAUGGAAAAAAUCUUGUCCAUUCCUGCUCUGAGAUACUCUAUAAAUGGCAAGCACACACACUUCCCCCAGUUACAACUUCAUAUCUGAUUAAAUAGGUUGUUGCAGAUGAAAGCCUAUGCCCAUUUCACAGCCAAAAGCCUGUAAAAUUUAGUCUCCAGGUGCCUGUGAAGGCUCCCCGCCCCUUCACAUUAUAGAAAAGUAACAUGGCUUUCACAUUUUAUUAUGUUGGUCACUGUAUGGUAAUUAUGGUAAUGGCUGUUUGUACUGCUCCUACCUGCAGAAGCUCUGUUCCUGCAUGCUACUCCCGAACUCCAUUCGCAUUGCUACACUAUAUUACCAGUCAGACAUUCUUCCUAGGCAGAGAUAUUUCUUUAAAAGAUGAAGCACUCCAUUAGUCGAGUGUGUAUUUUACACAAGGCAAUUCAAUAUUGCUGCUUUUUAAAAAUACCUCCUCGUGGUAUGCAAUGGAAUAUUGAUUAAACCUUAAGGCUGAUUGUGGCAACGUGGUGCUCAUGAGGCAACCACUUUUCAGUACCUACCUAAUAAUGUAUGGUUGCAAACCUGGAGCCCAGCACCGAGGAAGAGAGACCUUGGUGUAUCACAGCUCUGCUGCCCAGGUGUCUGUGGCAGGACAUGGCGAGCAUUUUUUGUUUUGUUUUAAAAUACAAGUUUCCAAACCUCAUUAUAACCUUGUUUGAAAUACGGAUUUGUUCAGCUUGUAAUGCCCUGGUGUGGUAUGAAUCAAGCAGUAUUUUCUUUCAGAACACUUGUCUACUGCCUGGAAUUUAAAACAAUAUCCUGCGCAUACGUACAGAGUGUUUUUUAAAUGCAACUCUACUUUUUGAGCAAGUCCUGGACACUGACUGCUGCUCAGUCAGAGCUCAGACUCUCUGAAGACUUACAAAAUCUUCCGGAGGGAGGAGUUGUGUCUGAGCUAUUUCUGAGACAAUUAGUGCCUGGGAUUUAUUUAAAAAUAGAUGGUAUAGGGCAGCCAGGAUGACUUAGAAUGCAGGGUGGGGCUCUCUCCCCUUCAAGUAUUCUCCAGCGAUCUACCUCCCUUUCAAGGGUUCUCCAGGGAUGCCUCACUCCACCUAAUGGUAAGGCCAGCCAUGGCUGGAGAGUGAGGUUUGGUGGCCUGGAGGGCAAAUUGGGUAUUCUUCUAAGGCUCAGAUUUUAAUCCAAGUCGGAGAAGAAUAUGGGACUUGUAAAGCUCUCAUUCUCCUUUUAGGUACGCAUCACAAGCCCCCUAAGCUUGCAGCUCAGAGAAGUCAAUCAACACCUAUCUGUAUCAGCUUUUCAACAAUAUCACUUUGCAUCUCUGUCAAGCUUUGCAGGAGGGAAUCCCUCAUGCAGAAUGCUUGGCAUCAGCAAGGCAGUGCUGGCUGUAGUUGAUGGGAGCUGAUGGUUGGCAGAGACUGUGCUAAGGUUUCUGGGUUUAAUAUAGUCAAAUAGAGAUUUGCUGAGUCUGUUCUCUCUUUGCCAGGAACAAGAUGCCUGUUUCUUGUGUACAUAAGGAGCUGUGUCUGGUCUAAGAUGCGUUUUCAGUAGCCACCCAAUCCUUGGUGACUGUAUUCUGUUCCAACUGUUUUCAAUUUUCAGUUGUUGUAACCCAACUUGAGACCUGCUGGUAAUAAAUUUAAUAAUAUGAAUAUGAAUAAUAAUAAUAGGAAAAAAACUGGAUAUCCUCCUUCUAUCAACCCUCAGCUUUUCCUUGAUUAGGGUUACUUGCAAUGUUGAGUACAAGCCAAUAAUCUCUUGCAGGAUGUGCUCACCAUUUUCAUUGGUUUGCGACGGUUGACUUAGCAGCCAGCUCAGAAUUGAUUGCAUGCAGGGACAGUGUGAACGUUUCGGUUUUAAGAAAAAAGUAGAACUCUAUCUUUGGCCCAAGUUGCAGAGUAAAAUGGGUUGCUACCCUACUUUAUGCUUUCUGAUAUACAGUAAAGGAUACACACAGGUUAAUUUUGAUGUUGUUAGAGGGAUCAGAGUUAGACAGCGAGUCGAAUUGUGAUAGGCUAACUUUCAUGUUCUGUUCCCAACACAUUUAAUCUAUAAUGUUCCUUUACUUACAGUGCAUCAAUUAGGUUUAUUGAUAAAUAUUUUCUCUUGCAUUUGCCAGUCAAUACAGUCCACAUCUUUGCGAUGUACUUUCCCCCCAUCGUUCUUUUUCUCUUUGACCCAACACAAGUUGUGGUCUUGUUACCUUGUGGUCAAUAUCACAUUGAAAACAAAUGUACCAUGUUGCCUUGGCUUCAGGUGCUCUGGAAUGCCUAACAUACAGUGACAAGGAGAACACAAGAACAUAAGAUGACCCUGCUGGAUCUGGCCACUGGCCCAUAUAGUCCGGCAUCUAGUCUGGCCAACCAGAUGCCUACAAGAAGGCUUAAGACAGCAUUGCUGCCUCUGACCUUGGAGGCUGAGCAUAGUUAUCAUGGCUAGUAGCCACUGAUAGCUACCAUUCCUUCAUGAAUUUGUCCAGUUUUCUUUUAAUGCCACCCAAGUUGGUGGAGACAUGGGUUGGCUGCUCUGGAAGCAAACAAACCAUAUCAAAGCAAGAAAGGCAGGGCCUCAGGUAGCAGGACCCACAGGAUCCACAAAGAUGUCGAUCUUUCUUCCCCUCUUGUUCCUGAUGUAGAUCUUCAUGCACCCUUUCUUCCCUGUUGGGGAGGGGGACACCAUUUUGUGGUUCACCUCAGAUGCAAAAAUGUCUGCAGAAAGCAGUGAGUGAGGACUGUACAGUAUUGGAUCUGAGCAUGAUGCCUGAGCAAGCAAUGACAACAGGAAUAGGUGGUGCAGGACUAGUCCCACCCCACAGAAGAAAGCAUCUAAGUCCGAGCUGAAGACACUUGCAAGCUUCCCCAUGACCAGGAACCAGCUUUGCUAUCUGAUUCUAAGCAUGUUCAGCUGAAUACUUUUAAUGGGGCACUUCAGAGCAUCCUCUGCAAGGGAGGAAGGAGGGAGCCGAGCGGAUCGUGCUGGUGCAUGUGGGGAUAAAUGCGAUGUUUCGGCACCUAUUGAAGAAGGUUGCUUAAGCAGGAUUUCCCUGAAGUGUGACCCAGCCUCUUACUGAAUAUCAAUUGUACAACCGUUGAUGUGAAAGAUAAAAGACAGGACAGAUAAAAGAAAGUCAUUCUUCACUUAGUGCAUAAUUAAACUAGGGAACUCGCUCCCACAGGAGGCAGUGAUGGACACCAGUAUGGAUGGCUUUAAAGAGGAUUGGGUAGAAUCAUGGAAUAUAAGGAGAUCAACAGGUACUAGCAUUGACGACUAUGCUCUGCCUCUAUAGUAAGGCAGCAAUACUUCUGAAUACCAGUUGCUGGAAGUCACAGGAGGGGAGAGGGCUCUUGUGCUUGGGUCUGCUUGCGGGUUUCCCAUGGAGGCAUUUGGUUGGCCACUGUCAGAACAGGAUGCUGGACUCGAUGGGCCCCCUUUGGGCUGAUCCAGCAGGCUCUCCUAACGUUCUUACAUUAGAAGUAGUUUAAUUGUUUUUAGCAUUUGUAGAGAUGGGUGUUGCUAUUUUAGAACUUGCAAUUUUGAUAUUUUUUCCUCAUUUGUUUUAAACAAUUAAUCUUUAUUAUAUUUAUGAUUAUAAUCUUUUUGUAUACUGCUUCCAUGGCUUCAGGAUAUAAAGCAGUCUGUAAAAUAAAUAAAUGAGUGUUGGGGGCAGGAUUUGACUCGGGGUGGAGAAGGUGUGGACUCGGGGUGGAGAAGCAACAUCUGGCCCUCCAGAUGUUGUUGUUAUUAUUAUAGUAGUACCUUGGUUCUCGAAGUCCAUUCGACUCCUGAAAUGGUUCGAAAACCAAGGUGCAGCUUCCGAUUGGCUGCAGGAGCUUCCUGCACUCAAGCAGAAGUUGCGUUGGAUGUUCGGCUUCCGAAAAAUGUUCACAAACCAGAACACUUACUUUCAGGUUUGCAGUGUUUGGGAGCAGAUUUGUUUGACAACUAAGCCGUUCGAGAACCAAGGUACCACUGUAUAUUUAUUCAUAUCCCACUUUUACCCUAGACAGGGACUCAAGGAAGCUUAUAGGUAAAGACAAAGAAAACAAACAUAAUUAAAGUGCAAUUAAAUGUUAAUGGUCUGUCUAUCUAUCUAUAUCUAUCUAUCAUCUAUCUAUCUAUCAUCUAUCAUUAUCUAUGAUAAUCACAAUGAAAACAUGCUUGCUGCAGGGGCUGAUGGGAGUUGUAGUUCAGCAACAUCUCUGGAGGGCCAAAGCUUCCCCACUCCUGGAGUAAUCUGUUAUACCUGGGUAGAGCAGUUUCUGUAAAGCACUUUGAGGUGUUUUUUUUUAAUGUAAUCAAGCAGUAUAUAAAGCUUGUGAAAUACAUACAUAAAUAAAAUUUCAGGAAAUGCAAGGGAGAUGUACACUGCUCACACGAAAUAUAAAAUGGCAUUAAAAUGGGUGUGCAAAAAAGUGAAUAAGUGUAUUGCUCUGAAUGUAAGAGUUGUGAAACUCAGGACUCAGCUAUACAGCUGCAAAUAAAAUGUUUUAAGUGUGUUAUAAGUGCAAUAUACAAUGCGACACUAGAUGGUAAGCCUUAUGGAAAAUUCAAUGUAUUUUAAAAAAAACUUUUAAAAAAGCAUUUUCAGAACGUUUUUUACAUCUGUGUACAUUUCACCUCACAGUCCUUCAGAUGAAUAACUUGAAACCCCUUGUGUAAAUCAUUUAUAUAAAUAAUGUAAAUAAUUUAAUUGCUGUCUUGUUUUAACGGGAUUGUUUCACUACAUAUUUUAAUUAUGGAUGUUUAUAUUUUAGCAUUCUAAGGGGAUUGCUGUAAUGUGUAUUUUAAUUACGGAUGUUUGCAUAUCAAUGUUUGUUUCUUUGGUUUUAUACCAAAGCCUAGCUACUCUCUCUCUCUCUCUCUCUCUCUCUCUCUCUCAGACCCAAAUUCAUAAAAAUAACAUCAAAGCAGUUUACCAUGAUGUGCUUCUACCUGGAAUGCUAUUAUUUAUGCAUGGAGAACAUCCUGUUCUACGAGGAACAUUGGAACUUUCUCUCUGCCACCUAAAGUUUUUACAGUGGUACCUCUGGUUACAAACUUAAUUCGUUCUGGAGGUCCUUUCUUAACCUGAAACUAUUCUUAACCUGAGGCGUGCUUUCACCUCCUGCUACCACCGCGCCACCAGAGCAUGGCUUCUGCUUGCAUCCUGAGGCAAAGUUCGCUACCAGGAAACCUACUUCUGGGUUGGCAGAGCUUGUUACCCGAAGCGUUUGUAAGAAGGACGGUACGUAACCCAAGAUUCCACUGUAUUAUGAGAUGAGUUACUUGUCUACACUGAAUGAAUCUGAACCUGUCUAGACUAGGCCUAAUAAAGUUUUUAUAUGACUGUGUUGCUACAUACAGGGCUAUACUGGCUGAAGUCGAUCUUUCUAAGAACAUAAGAAGAUCCUGUUAGAUCAGGCCAACAUUCUGUCCUCACAGUAGCCAACCACAGGCCUGUGAGAAACCCGAGAGCAGGACUCAAGCGCAACAGCAUUCUCCCCUCCUCUGGUUUCCAGCAACUGGUCGUCAGAGACAUACUGCCUUCCACAGUGCACAAUGGCAUAGCUUUCAUCAUAGCUAGUAGCCACUGACAGCCUCCAUGAAUUUGUCCGGUCCUCUUUAAAAGCCAUCCAAGUUGGUGGCCAUCAUUGCCUCUGGUGGGAUCCAGUUCCAUGACUAUGCACUGCUUGAAGACAGACUUUCUUUUAUCUGUCCUGAAUUUUGGGGGAGUUGCGG